rnacentral:rRNA from 1 species
GUGGGGAAUCUUGCGCAAUGGGCGAAAGCCUGACGCAGCCAUGCCGCGUGAAUGAUGAAGGUCUUAGGAUUGUAAAAUUCUUUCACCGGGGACGAUAAUGACGGUACCCGGAGAAGAAGCUCCGGCUAACUUCGUGCCAGCAGCCGCGGUAAUACGAAGGGGGCUAGCGUUGCUCGGAAUUACUGGGCGUAAAGGGCGCGUAGGCGGACAGCUUAGUCAGAGGUGAAAGCCCAGGGCUCAACCUUGGAAUUACCUGUUAUACUGGCUGUCUUGAGUUUGGGAGAGGUGAGUGGAACUCCGAGUGUAGAGGUGAAAUUCGUUGAUAUUCGGAAGAACACCAGUGGCGAAGGCGACUCACUGGCCCAAUACUGACGCUGAGGCGCGAAAGCGUGGGGAGCAAACAGGAUUAGAAACCCCGGUAGUCC